GACCGAUAGUGAACCAGUACCGUGAGGGAAAGGUGAAAAGCACCCCGGAAGGGGAGUGAAACAGUUCCUGAAACCGUGUGCCUACAAGUAGUUAGAGCCCGUUAAUGGGUGAUAGCGUGCCUUUUGUAGAAUGAACCGGCGAGUUACGAUUUGUUGCAAGGUUAAGCGGAAAAAGCGGAGCCGUAGCGAAAGCGAGUCUGAAUAGGGCGCAUAAGUAACAGGUCGUAGACCCGAAACCAGGUGAUCUACCCAUGUCCAGGAUGAAGGUAAGGUAAUACUUACUGGAGGUCCGAACCCACGCACGUUGAAAAGUGCGGGGAUGAGGUGUGGGUAGCGGAGAAAUUCCAAUCGAACUUGGAGAUAGCUGGUUCUCUCCGAAAUAGCUUUAGGGCUAGCCUCGAGGUAAAGAGUCAUGGAGGUAGAGCACUGUUUGGAC
rnacentral:rRNA from 1 species